rnacentral:rRNA from 1 species
CCAGUAGUCAUAUGCUUGUCUCAAAGAUUAAGCCAUGCAUGUCUAAGUAUAAACCAAUUUAUACAGGUGAAACUGCGAAUGGCUCAUUAAAUCAGUUAUAGUUUAUUUGAUAGUCCAAUUACUACUUGGAUAACCGUGGUAAUUCUAGAGCUAAAACAUGCUAAAAAUCUCGACUUCUGGAAGAGAUGUAUUUAUUAGAUAAAAAGCCAAUAGCCCGCAAGGGUUUCCUAAUGGUGAAUCAUGAUAACUUUUCGAAUCGCAUGGUCUUGAACCGGCGAUGAAUCAUUCAAAUUUCUGCCCUAUCAACUUUCGAUGGUAGGAUAGAGGCCUACCACGGUUUUAACGGGUAACGGGGAAUUAGGGUUCGAUUCCGGAGAGGGAGCCUGAGAAACGGCUACCACAUCCAAGGAAGGCAGCAGGCACGCAAAUUACCCAAUCCCGACACGGGGAGGUAGUGACAAUAAAUAACAAUACGGGGCUCAUUUGGGUUUCGUAAUUGGAAUGAGUACAAUUUAAAUCCCUCAACGAGGAACAAUUGGAGGGCAAGUCUGGUGCCAGCAGCC